rnacentral:tRNA from 1 species
ACCCGAUUAGCUCAAUUGGUCAGAGCGUUGGACUUUUACGAACACUGCUUCGCAAUUGGAUAUCCAAAGGCUACGAGUUCGACCCUCGUAUCGGGUG